rnacentral:rRNA from 1 species
GAUGAACGCUGGCGGCGUGCCUAAUACAUGCAAGUCGAGCGAACGGACGAGAAGCUUGCUUCUCUGAUGUUAGCGGCGGACGGGUGAGUAACACGUGGAUAACCUACCUAUAAGACUGGGAUAACUUCGGGAAACCGGAGCUAAUACCGGAUAAUAUUUUGAACCGCAUGGUUCAAAAGUGAAAGACGGUCUUGCUGUCACUUAUAGAUGGAUCCGCGCUGCAUUAGCUAGUUGGUAAGGUAACGGCUUACCAAGGCAACGAUGCAUAGCCGACCUGAGAGGGUGAUCGGCCACACUGGAACUGAGACACGGUCCAGACUCCUACGGGAGGCAGCAGUAGGGAAUCUUCCGCAAUGGGCGAAAGCCUGACGGAGCAACGCCGCGUGAGCGAUGAAGGUCUUCGGAUCGUAAAACUCUGUUAUUAGGGAAGAACAUAUGUGUAAGUAACUGUGCACAUCUUGACGGUACCUAAUCAGAAAGCCACGGCUAACUACGUGCCAGCAGCCGCGGUAAUACGUAGGUGGCAAGCGUUAUCCGGAAUUAUUGGGCGUAAAGCGCGCGUAGGCGGUUUUUUAAGUCUGAUGCGAAAGCCCACGGCUCAACCGUGGAGGGUCAUUGGAAACUGGAAAACUUGAGUGCAGAAGAGGAAAGUGGAAUUCCAUGUGUAGCGGUGAAAUGCGCAGAGAUAUGGAGGAACACCAGUGGCGAAGGCGACUUUCUGGUCUGUAACUGACGCUGAUGUGCGAAAGCGUGGGGAUCAAACAGGAUUAGAUACCCUGGUAGUCCAUGCCGUAAACGAUGAGUGCUAAGUGUUAGGGGGUUUCCGCCCCUUAGUGCUGCAGCUAACGCAUUAAGCACUCCGCCUGGGGAGUACGACCGCAAGGUUGAAACUCAAAGGAAUUGACGGGGACCCGCACAAGCGGUGGAGCAUGUGGUUUAAUUCGAAGCAACGCGAAGAACCUUACCAAAUCUUGACAUCCUUUGACAACUCUAGAGAUAGAGCCUUCCCCUUCGGGGGACAAAGUGACAGGUGGUGCAUGGUUGUCGUCAGCUCGUGUCGUGAGAUGUUGGGUUAAGUCCCGCAACGAGCGCAACCCUUAAGCUUAGUUGCCAUCAUUAAGUUGGGCACUCUAAGUUGACUGCCGGUGACAAACCGGAGGAAGGUGGGGAUGACGUCAAAUCAUCAUGCCCCUUAUGAUUUGGGCUACACACGUGCUACAAUGGACAAUACAAAGGGCAGCGAAACCGCGAGGUCAAGCAAAUCCCAUAAAGUUGUUCUCAGUUCGGAUUGUAGUCUGCAACUCGACUACAUGAAGCUGGAAUCGCUAGUAAUCGUAGAUCAGCAUGCUACGGUGAAUACGUUCCCGGGUCU